AGCAUGUGGCUGGCUGCUGUUUUGCUGGCCAUUGGUGCACUGUGCACGUAUCCAGUCACUUGUCUCUUUUUUUCCACCUGUGCAUUGCUGUAGACUAUUAUAUAAGUCUAUGAUACAUUACACAUACAUGCAUGUUAUAUUGUCAAAUGUAUGUAAUCCCAAAAAAUAUAACUUUCAACAAUGGAUCUCUUGGUUCUCGCAUCGAUGAAGGACACAGCGAAAUGUGAUAAGUAAUGUGAAUUGCAGAAUUCAGUGAAUCAUUGAAUCUUUGAAUGCAUCUUGUGCUCCUUGGUAUUCCGAGGAGCAUGCCUGUUUGAGUGUCAUUAAGAUCUAUCAAAUCACUUUAUUUCUGAGUGUUUUGGAUUUUGGGAGCUUUGCUAGCUAUUGAGUAAAAUCCUAGCUCUCCUGAAAAGCAUUGGCUUGGAGACCUAAUUGAUGUGAUAAAUUGUCUGCAUCACCUUGUCAUCUCUGCCAUUUUUUUGAAAAA
rnacentral:rRNA from 1 species